rnacentral:pre_miRNA from 1 species
GCGCUCUCAAAGUGGUUGUGAAAUGCAUUUUUGAAAGCUUUGCGCGCAUAUCACAGCCAGCUUUGAUGAGCUUAG